UCAUCAGGAGCAAAAAAGGGGCUCUCACAAAAGCCCUAAAACUCACAAGAACCUAGCAAAAUCGAAGAUGAAUCAAGCUAAAAUUUGGGGCUUUUAAUAAAAUCGUAAUCACCAAGCUUGGGGGAUCACAAGUUUGACUCUUGACAAGCAAGAUGGAGGCUUGUGGAUGCAGCGGGUCAAACGGAUAAAGAACGGAAGGAAAAGCGUGGCAUGGAUGCAAGGUAAAGUUAUAUUACCGAAGGACGAUCAAGCUCAAUGAAGAACCGAACACGAUCAAGAAACAAGCUUCCGCACGACGUCUCGUUGUUACCUUUAAAUGACGAACCUAUUUACAUUAUGUUGCAAACUUUUAAAUUGUAAAAAGAUUUUAAUAAACCCCUAUUUCCGAAGCAUAUGUAAACAUAAUUACAUGAUC